rnacentral:rRNA from 1 species
CCUACGGGAGGCAGCAGUGGGGAAUCUUGCGCAAUGGGCGAAAGCCUGACGCAGCCAUGCCGCGUGAAUGAUGAAGGUCUUAGGAUUGUAAAAUUCUUUCAGCAGGGACGAUAAUGACGGUACCUGCAGAAGAAGCCCCGGCUAACUUCGUGCCAGCAGCCGCGGUAAUACGAAGGGGGCUAGCGUUGCUCGGAAUUACUGGGCGUAAAGGGAGCGUAGGCGGGUUAUCAAGUUGGAGGUGAAAGCCCAGGGCUCAACCUUGGAAUUGCCUUCAAAACUGAUAGCCUAGAGUAUGAUAGAGGUAAGUGGAACUCCGAGUGUAGAGGUGAAAUUCGUAGAUAUUCGGAAGAACACCAGUGGCGAAAGGCGACUUACUGGAUCAUGACUGACGCUGAGGCUCGAAAGCGUGGGGAGCAAGCAGGAUUAGAUACCCCUGGUAGUCCCACGCUGUAACGAUAGAUUGUCUAGUUGUCUACGCCGGCGAUGUCCGGUUCGGGUUGGUACGCGAGCUAACGACGAUUAAGUACGACUCCGCCGUCGGGGUAGGUACGGUCGGCGAGAAGUUAAAACGUUAAAAGGUAAGUUAGUACGGCGUGAGACGUGCCGACGGACGACGACGAGGGAGGAGG